rnacentral:misc_RNA from 1 species
UCCGGUUUGGCACCGGCAGUCUCUCCAGAGUCCCCGCCAUUACGCGCUGGCAACUGGAGACGGGGGUUGCGCUCGUUGCGGGACUUAACCCAACAUCUCACGACACGAGCUGACGACAGCCAUGCAGCACCUGUGCAUGGAUCCCGAAGGAGGGCCCCCGUUUCCGAGGGCUUUCCCAUGCAUGUCAAGCCUAGGUAAGGUUCUUCGCGUUGCGUCGAAUUAAACCACAUGCUCCACCGCUUGUGCGGGCCCCCGUCAAUUCCUUUGAGUUUCAGCCUUGCGGCCGUACUCCCCAGGCGGGGCACUUAAUGCGUUAGCGCCGGCACUCCGGGGGUCGCUCCCCGAAGCACCUAGUGCCCAUCGUUUACGGCGUGGACUAC